rnacentral:rRNA from 1 species
UUACUGGCUCAGGAUGAACGCUAGCUACAGGCUUAACACAUGCAAGUCGAGGGGCAGCAUGAAACUUAGCUUGCUAAGUUUGAUGGCGACCGGCGCACGGGUGAGUAACACGUAUCCAACCUACCGUUUACUACGGGAUAGCCUUCUGAAAAGGAGAUUAAUACCGUAUGGUAUUCUAAAGUUUCAUGACAUUAGAAUUAAAGGUUUACCGGUAAUCGAUGGGGAUGCGUUCCAUUAGAUAGUAGGCGGGGUAACGGCCCACCUAGUCAGCGAUGGAUAGGGGUUCUGAGAGGAAGGUCCCCCACAUUGGAACUGAGACACGGUCCAAACUCCUACGGGAGGCAGCAGUGAGGAAUAUUGGUCAAUGGGCGAGAGCCUGAACCAGCCAAAAGUAGCGUGAAGGAUGACUGCCCUAUGGGUUGUAAACUUCUUUUAUAAAGGAAUAAAGUGGUCCACGUGUGGAUUUUUGUAUGUACUUUAUGAAUAAGGAUCGGCUAACUCCGUGCCAGCCGCGGC